UACAGAGGGUGCGAGCGUUAAUCGGAAUUACUGGGCGUAAAGCGUGCGUAGACGGUUAUUUAAGUCGGAUGUGAAAGCCCCGGGCUCAACCUGGGAAUUGCAUUCGAGACUGAAUAGCUAGGGUGCGGUAGAGGGAAGCGGAAUUUCCGGUGUAGCGGUGAAGUGCGUAGAUAUCGGAAGGAACAUCAGUGGCGAAAGCGGCUUCCUGGACCAGCACCGACGUUCAGGCACGAAAGCGUGGGGAGCAAACAGG
rnacentral:rRNA from 1 species